rnacentral:rRNA from 1 species
ACGGGAGGCAGCAGUGGGGAAUAUUGCACAAUGGGGGAAACCCUGAUGCAGCGACGCCGCGUGAGUGAAGAAGUAUUUCGGUAUGUAGAGCUCUAUCAGCAGGAAAGAAAAUGACGGUACCUGACUAAGAAGCCCCGGCUAACUACGUGCCAGCAGCCGCGGUAAUACGUAGGGGGCAAGCGUUAUCCGGAUUUACUGGGUGUAAAGGGAGCGUAGACGGUAAGGCAAGUCUGAAGUGAAAUGCCAGGGCUCAACCCUGGAACUGCUUUGGAAACUGUCCUACUAGAGUGCAGGAGAGGUAAGUGGAAUUCCUAGUGUAGCGGUGAAAUGCGUAGAUAUUAGGAGGAACACCAGUGGCGAAGGCGGCUUACUGGACUGUAACUGACGUUGAGGCUCGAAAGCGUGGGGAGCAAACAGGAUUAGAUACCCUGGUA